UAAUAUUGGUGGCCGACAGCUAGGUCAUCAAUCAGUUUGUGUUUGGUGUGGUAUAUCCAUUUCAAGAAGAACGGGCAGACGUUCUCGUCCCUUAACGGAUGAUCAUCCUGAGCGGGCUUAUGUAGCUGGCAUCAUCAGCCCCCGACAGAUUCCACCAAAUGGUCGAGCAUGUAAUGCCUGUUGGCAAAGGGCCCACAGCAAUAUUCUACAAGUCAUUGAACCACCAAGAGAGUCCCAAGAAACUAGUGACAAUGCAGAAAGUAGGUCUAGCUCUGUAGCUGCACCUGUAAGUACAUUCAGUUCGGAAAUUGAUAUGGACAUAGUUCAAAAUGACAAUGUACUUGUUGAACUAGAAGGUUACAGUCGAACUCCAAAUUCAUCUAACCAUUGUUUUGUUCCCGAUUGUACAAACUCGGAACGUCUAAGAGUUCCUAUUUACAUUAAGAAACAAAUAUUAAUUGACUACAAAUUGUAUGUCUCACCUAAUGCCCGAGUAUGUGAAGAACAUGCAAGUGUAUAUAAUUGGGAACUGUUGACUGAAUAUCAGUUUACAACGCAGUUUACUCAAAGUCAUAUAGUAGAAAUGCUAGAUUUAUUAAGAAAAAAAACAGUAAACAUUAUUGAUUUUGAAAAUGUUGGAAAUAUGAACAACCAUAUUUGUCGUUAUUGGACAGGCUUAACUGUAUUGAACUUUUUAGCACUACUGAGCUGUAUUACAAGUGAAUUGUCAAAUAUAUGUAAAAAACCUAAAACAGCUUUAGGAUUGUACCUCAUGAAAAUAAGAACUGGGGAGCCAAUUAGACGAAUUGCAUCAUUAAUGAGCAUGAAUAAAUCGGUAGCAUGCAGUUAUAUGAAAAAGGCACGUCACUGCUUGACCGAAUUUUAUGUACCUAGACAUUUAGGUGUAAAUCAUAUUCCUCGAACAAGCCUGUCCAGUAGAAACCUUUUAAUCCCACAGGGUCUUUUUGGAACAGCAGAAAAUAACCCCAUAAUUAUUUGCGAUGGGACAUACAUAUAUUUACAGAAAUCAUCUAACUAUCUGUUCCAAAAAAAAACAUAUAGCUUACACAAGUUUGCAAAUCUUGUAAAACCCCUGAUGGCCACAUUAUAGACAUAUUUGGCCCAUACGCAGCCACAACAUCAGACGCUACAAUUAUGCGACUGCUGUUCGAAAAUGAAAAUUCUGAGUUAAGGCAAUAUUUUAGACAGAAUGAUGUUUUUAUUCUCGACCGUGGUUUUAGAGACUCUAUCCCAUUAUUGACAUCUUUGGGAUAUACAGUUUGUAAACCUGAGACCCUAAGCGAAGGGGAAACUCAAUUAUCAACUGAAAAAGCCAACAAAUCACGGCUAGUGACACUGUGCAGGUGGGUUGUAGAAGUUGUAAAUGGUCUGUUUAAACGGGAUUUCAAAAUAUUUCGAAAUAAAUAUUUUAAUAUAGGGUCUCAAAACCUAAUGAAUGACUUCAAAAUUGCAGGAGCUAUUUUAAACCAUUUUCAUCCUGUUUUGACUGACCAUCCUGAUGCUCAAAAUAUACUGGAAAGAGCUAAUCAGAGAAUGAACAUGGAAAACUAUUUAGCUAACCAUGUGAUUAGGCAUCAGCUUAAUAGACGCCGAGCCAGUUUCGUCCAUAUAAAUGCUCAAAUGCCACAGCUGAAUGUGUUCCCCAUCAUGGAGAUGUCAGAUUUAGUUUUAUUUAGUUUGGGUAUUUAUCAAAUUAAACAGGCACACUCUUAUUAUGGGGAACAUAUUCGGCCAAAUGGUACUUUUACUGUAGAAGUAAGUGAAGAUGUACAAUUGAUAAAUAUUUCAGGCAUUUCGUCAUCACAUGAGACAGUAUUAAUCAGAGGACGAAUAAAGUCACGCCACAUUAGUAGUCGAGUGUAUUACACAUAUAUUUUAUUGAAAGUGGCAGAGACUAAUUGGCAAAACUGCAUUUCUGAUUAUUAUUGUAGUUGCAUAAUUGGAAAAAGAACUGUUGGAAGCUGUGCUCAUGUGAUGACAAUAGUCUGGUAUCUUGGAUGGGCUCGGCAUCAAAAUAAUAUAUCUCCACCUGCGCAGUUUCUCGACAGUAUUUUAAUAAGAGAAGACGUUGAAAAUGAAGAAAAUCAAUAAAUAAAUACUAUUUAAAAA